UUAAGCGACUAAGCGUACACGGUGGAUGCCCUGGCAGUCAGAGGCGAUGAAGGACGUGCUAAUCUGCGAUAAGCGUCGGUGAGGUGAUAUGAACCGUUAUAACCGGCGAUUUCCGAAUGGGGAAACCCAGUGUGUUUCGACACACUAUCAUUAACUGAAUCCAUAGGUUAAUGAGGCGAACCGGGGGAACUGAAACAUCUAAGUACCCCGAGGAAAAGAAAUCAACCGAGAUUCCCCCAGUAGCGGCGAGCGAACGGGGAGGAGCCCAGAGCCUGAAUCAGUGUGUGUGUUAGUGGAAGCGUCUGGAAAGGCGUGCGAUACAGGGUGACAGCCCCGUACACAAAAAUGCACAUAUUGUGAGCUCGAUGAGUAGGGCGGGACACGUGGUAUCCUGUCUGAAUAUGGGGGGACCAUCCUCCAAGGCUAAAUACUCCUGACUGACCGAUAGUGAACCAGUACCGUGAGGGAAAGGCGAAAAGAACCCCGGCGAGGGGAGUGAAAAAGAACCUGAAACCGUGUACGUACAAGCAGUGGGAGCCUCUUAAUGGGGUGACUGCGUACCUUUUGUAUAAUGGGUCAGCGACUUAUAUUCUGUAGCAAGGUUAACCGAAUAGGGGAGCCGAAGGGAAACCGAGUCUUAACUGGGCGUUAAGUUGCAGGGUAUAGACCCGAAACCCGGUGAUCUAGCCAUGGGCAGGUUGAAGGUUGGGUAACACUAACUGGAGGACCGAACCGACUAAUGUUGAAAAAUUAGCGGAUGACUUGUGGCUGGGGGUGAAAGGCCAAUCAAACCGGGAGAUAGCUGGUUCUCCCCGAAAGCUAUUUAGGUAGCGCCUCGUGAAUUCAUCUCCGGGGGUAGAGCACUGUUUCGGCAAGGGGGUCAUCCCGACUUACCAACCCGAUGCAAACUGCGAAUACCGGAGAAUGUUAUCACGGGAGACACACGGCGGGUGCUAACGUCCGUCGUGAAGAGGGAAACAACCCAGACCGCCAGCUAAGGUCCCAAAGUCAUGGUUAAGUGGGAAACGAUGUGGGAAGGCCCAGACAGCCAGGAUGUUGGCUUAGAAGCAGCCAUCAUUUAAAGAAAGCGUAAUAGCUCACUGGUCGAGUCGGCCUGCGCGGAAGAUGUAACGGGGCUAAACCAUGCACCGAAGCUGCGGCAGCGACACUAUGUGUUGUUGGGUAGGGGAGCGUUCUGUAAGCCUGUGAAGGUGGCCUGUGAGGGUUGCUGGAGGUAUCAGAAGUGCGAAUGCUGACAUAAGUAACGAUAAAGCGGGUGAAAAGCCCGCUCGCCGGAAGACCAAGGGUUCCUGUCCAACGUUAAUCGGGGCAGGGUGAGUCGACCCCUAAGGCGAGGCCGAAAGGCGUAGUCGAUGGGAAACAGGUUAAUAUUCCUGUACUUGGUGUUACUGCGAAGGGGGACGGAGAAGGCUAUGUUGGCCGGGCGACGGUUGUCCCGGUUUAAGCGUGUAGGCUGGUUUUCCAGGCAAAUCCGGAAAACCAAGGCUGAGGCGUGAUGACGAGGCACUACGGUGCUGAAGCGACAAAUGCCCUGCUUCCAGGAAAAGCCUCUAAGCAUCAGGUAACAUCAAAUCGUACCCAAAACCGACACAGGUGGUCAGGUAGAGAAUACCAAGGCGCUUGAGAGAACUCGGUGAAGGAACUAGGCAAAAUGGUGCCGUAACUUCGGGAGAAGGCACGCUGAUAUGUAGGUGAAGCGACUUGCUCGUGGAGCUGAAAUCAGUCGAAGAUACCAGCUGGCUGCAACUGUUUAUUAAAAACACAGCACUGUGCAAACACGAAAGUGGACGUAUACGGUGUGACGCCUGCCCGGUGCCGGAAGGUUAAUUGAUGGGGUUAGCGGUAACGCGAAGCUCUUGAUCGAAGCCCCGGUAAACGGCGGCCGUAACUAUAACGGUCCUAAGGUAGCGAAAUUCCUUGUCGGGUAAGUUCCGACCUGCACGAAUGGCGUAAUGAUGGCCAGGCUGUCUCCACCCGAGACUCAGUGAAAUUGAACUCGCUGUGAAGAUGCAGUGUACCCGCGGCAAGACGGAAAGACCCCGUGAACCUUUACUAUAGCUUGACACUGAACAUUGAGCCUUGAUGUGUAGGAUAGGUGGGAGGCUUUGAAGUGUGGACGCCAGUCUGCAUGGAGCCGACCUUGAAAUACCACCCUUUAAUGUUUGAUGUUCUAACGUUGGCCCGUAAUCCGGGUUGCGGACAGUGUCUGGUGGGUAGUUUGACUGGGGCGGUCUCCUCCUAAAGAGUAACGGAGGAGCACGAAGGUUGGCUAAUCCUGGUCGGACAUCAGGAGGUUAGUGCAAUGGCAUAAGCCAGCUUGACUGCGAGCGUGACGGCGCGAGCAGGUGCGAAAGCAGGUCAUAGUGAUCCGGUGGUUCUGAAUGGAAGGGCCAUCGCUCAACGGAUAAAAGGUACUCCGGGGAUAACAGGCUGAUACCGCCCAAGAGUUCAUAUCGACGGCGGUGUUUGGCACCUCGAUGUCGGCUCAUCACAUCCUGGGGCUGAAGUAGGUCCCAAGGGUAUGGCUGUUCGCCAUUUAAAGUGGUACGCGAGCUGGGUUUAGAACGUCGUGAGACAGUUCGGUCCCUAUCUGCCGUGGGCGCUGGAGAACUGAGGGGGGCUGCUCCUAGUACGAGAGGACCGGAGUGGACGCAUCACUGGUGUUCGGGUUGUCAUGCCAAUGGCACUGCCCGGUAGCUAAAUGCGGAAGAGAUAAGUGCUGAAAGCAUCUAAGCACGAAACUUGCCCCGAGAUGAGUUCUCCCUGACUCCUUGAGGGUCCUGAAGGAACGUUGAAGACGACGACGUUGAUAGGCCGGGUGUGUAAGCGCAGCGAUGCGUUGAGCUAACCGGUACUAAUGAACCGUGAGGCUUAACCUU
rnacentral:rRNA from 1 species